UUGAUCUCAAAUCAGGUAGGACUACCCGCUGAACUUAAGCAUAUCAAUAAGCGGAGGAAAAGAAACUAACAAGGAUUCCCCUAGUAACUGCGAGUGAAGCGGGAAGAGCUCAAAUUAAAAAUCUGGCGUCCUCUGGCCGUCUGAGUUGUAGUCUGGAGAAGCGUUUUCCGUGUUGGACCGUGUACAAGUCCCUUGGAACAGGGCGUCGUAGAGGGUGAGAAUCCCGUCUUUGACACGGACUACCAAUGCUUUGUGAUGCGCUCUCAAAGAGUCGAGUUGUUUGGGAAUGCAGCUCCAAAUGGGUGGUAAUUCCAUCUAAAGCUAAAUAUAUGCGAGAGACCGAUAGCGAACAAG
rnacentral:rRNA from 1 species